CUCAUAAACAUAACGUUUUUCUUCACACCAAUAUUCAUUUAUUUCCAAUUCAACGUUUUCUCUGUAUUAUCUUCCCCAAUUUCUCAAGAUUUCGUUUUCAGCAUGCCUCGUCUUCUCUAGUUCAUCAUUCCUUCCCGGUUUUUUCAUCUCGAAGCUCGAUUCGAAGAUGGAUGGUGGUCAUGUUGAUGGGCAUGAAAAUCGGUGCUAAAAUAAGACUCACUGUUUGUAGAACUUGGACUUUCAAUGAUGGAUGAACAAGUUUUUCAGGUCUGCUGCAACAGCAAAUAAGUUAGAGGAAGCUGGUAACCAAAAUAUAGCAUGCAUAUCAUUGGACUUCAAACUGUGAAACCGGGUUUAGAUAAUCAUUUAUUUUAUUUUAUAUUUUAUUUUAUGUUAUCUUUAAGGAUAAGAAUCAAAAUGUGUCUAUUCUGCAGUGACAUUUGAACCGAUCAAUUUGACGGAGUUGCAGAAUGCUGGAAAAGCUGGUUUGGUGUAAAUCCAAGGGAAAAUUUUAGCUGGGUUAGGAAUUGUUUUUUUAGUAAGUAUUUUUAUAACUUUUGUAACAAUUUAG